rnacentral:misc_RNA from 1 species
UACAUGCGACCCAGCUGAAACGGACGCAAGAAUCUAGGGGGCAAGGAGCGCUUGAAACUGCAAUUCACCAUGAACGUAGCCUUGGUCACGCUCUUAUUCAGCGCAGUCGCAAUAACGAGCUCAUCAGGGACGUCACUGUUAAGCUGCUCUUCGUUCACGUGCACUCCGGACUACUGUGAACAACGGCAGUGCCCCUGCGGAUCCUACAAGGACCACUGCGGAUGCUGCGACCUUUGCUAUCAGUCUCCUGGCGAGGAUUGUACGACCCUCUUCAGCGACCCUUGCACCGUUGGCUACCGCUGCUCUCCCGACAAUCCAAGCGAAGCCUUCGUUACCGGCGAUAGAGGGCACUGCAGGCCCCUGAACGAAACAUCCACCGAACACCAACACCACGGACACUCGGAACACAAUAACUGAACACCUCAACCUGCGGUGCCCUCAGACCAUAGCGCUUCCACGAACAAGUCACAGUGUCAAGCAAGAUUCGACGCGAUAAUAAAUGUUCAUACGGCAACCAA